rnacentral:tRNA from 1 species
GAGGUGGCUCAGAGGUUAAGAGCACUGGCUGUUCUUCCAGAGGACCUGGGUUCAAUUCCCAGCACUCA